rnacentral:tRNA from 2 species
ACCCUAUCGCCACUGUCUAGGGAAAAACA